rnacentral:rRNA from 1 species
UACGUAGGGGGCGAGCGUUGUCCGGAGUUACUGGGCGUAAAGCGCACGCAGGCGGUCUGCUAAGUUUGGAGUGACAGUUGGUGGCUUAACUGCCAAAGUGCUUCGAAAACUGACAGACUUGAGGGCUUCAGAGGGACACGGAAUUCCGGGUGGAGUGGUGAAAUGCGUAGAGAUCCGGAGGAACACCAGUGGCGAAGGCGGCUUCCUGGUCUGCAACUGACGCUGUGGCGCGAAAGCUAGGGGAGCAAACGGG